rnacentral:rRNA from 1 species
GACGAACGCUGGCGGCGUGCCUAAUACAUGCAAGUAGAACGCUGAAGGAAGGAGCUUGCUCUUUCCGGAUGAGUUGCGAACGGGUGAGUAACGCGUAGGUAACCUGCCUGGUAGCGGGGGAUAACUAUUGGAAACGAUAGCUAAUACCGCAUAAUAGCAGUUAUUGCAUGAUAACUGUUUGAAAGGUGCAAAUGCAUCACUACCAGAUGGACCUGCGUUGUAUUAGCUAGUUGGUGGGGUAACGGCUCACCAAGGCGACGAUACAUAGCCGACCUGAGAGGGUGAUCGGCCACACUGGGACUGAGACACGGCCCAGACUCCUACGGGAGGCAGCAGUAGGGAAUCUUCGGCAAUGGACGGAAGUCUGACCGAGCAACGCCGCGUGAGUGAAGAAGGUUUUCGGAUCGUAAAGCUCUGUUGUAAGAGAAGAACGAGUGUGAGAGUGGAAAGUUCACACUGUGACG